rnacentral:rRNA from 1 species
UAAUACGGGGGGGGCAAGCGUUGUUCGGAAUUACUGGGCGUAAAGGGUUCGUAGGUGGCUUUCUAAGUCAGACGUGAAAUCCCUCAGCUUAACUGGGGAACUGCGUCUGAGACUGGCGAGCUUGAGUGCAGGAGAGGAACGCGGAAUUCCAGGUGUAGCGGUGAAAUGCGUAGAUAUCUGGAGGAACACCGGUGGCGAAGGCGGCGUUCUGGACUGUUACUGACACUGAGGAACGAAAGCCAGGGGAGCAAACGGG